rnacentral:rRNA from 1 species
UACGAAGGGGGCUAGCGUUGUUCGGAAUCACUGGGCGUAAAGGGCGCGUAGGCGGCCGAUCAAGUCGGGGGUGAAAGCCUGUGGCUCAACCACAGAAUUGCCUUUGAUACUGUUUGGCUUGAGACCGGAAGAGGUUAGUGGAACUGCGAGUGUAGAGGUGAAAUUCGUAGAUAUUCGCAAGAACACCAGUGGCGAAGGCGGCUGACUGGUCCGGUUCUGACGCUGAUGCGCGAAAGCGUGGGGAGCAAACGGG